rnacentral:lncRNA from 1 species
CAGAACGUAGCUGCUUUGAAUUUGCAUGGUCAUAUGACAGCAUGUUGUAAUUGCAGGAAGAAAACACUAUUUUAGUUCCCUCGUAUCUCCUGCUCCUCCAUCAUCUGUACUUGGACCUCUCUUUGUCUUUUGAUUUCUUAGGACUUCUACUUCUGUCUCUCUUUUUAUCCCAGUCUCUUAUUCGGACAUCUUCUCUGUAUUUGUCUUUAUGUUUGCUGUAACUUCUCUCUUGAGAUCGGCUGCGACUCCGAUGCCUGUCUUUCUUCUCACUCUUCAUCUUCUCUCUACAGCGUUCUCCUUCAUGUUUUCGAUCGGAAUCCUUGUAUUUUUUGGUCCUCUUGUCAUCCUCUUCGUCUUCAGAGUGGUAGUGCUUCUUCUUCUUCUGUUUUUUAGCCACAUGUGACUGACUUGUUUGAGAUUCUUCUUCUUCCUCAUCUAGCACAAGGUCAUACUUGGCAUCCUGCUUUGGUUUCACCUUCUCUUUGAGAGCAAAUUUUGAAGGUUUAUCACGUUCCUUUUCAUAGUCUUUGAAAUCAUCCUUGGUGUACUGCCCACCUUUUCCUUUCCACUUAAUCUUUGCAACAGACUGGCUAAAAUCCACAUGUAUCCGCCUGUCAUCUAUCAGCACGUUGUCCAUUUUGAAAUAGGCUUUCUCACAGUCUUCCUCCUUUUCAAACUCGAUGAAAGCAUAACACAGAGAUUCACCAGUCUUCCAGUCUCGAAUGACUUCACAGCUUUUAAUUGGACCAAACCGUGAAAAUAUUAUCUCUAGGUCUUCAUCUGUGGUCACGGGAUUCAGUUUACAAACAAACAGCACAUUUUCUGGUGGCUUGACUUCUGCAUCUGGUAAGUCUCCCACCAUUUCCAGAAGAAUGGCACGAGUUUUUGCCUCUUUUUCUGCCUGAACUUCUUCUAUUUCAUCUGCAGACCGUCCUUUCAUGUCAUCAAUUUCUUCAUCAGCUCCUAUUCUUCCACUAUCUAGCUGUUCCUUAGUAGGCUCUGGUGAGCGAUCAGGAAUAGGCAAGCCAGGUGGAUCAUCAAAUGGAUCAUCCAGAAUUACUGUAUGAUUGAUCCUGAUAUCCUGAUACGGGAUAAAAUCCUUAUCCACAAAGGUUUCAUUAAUUGUCUUCAGUACAUCCAUGCCUUCAGUCACUUCCCCAAACACUGUAUGCACACCAUCCAGAUAAUCCAAGUUUUCUCCUGUUGUAAUAAGAAACUGUGAUCCAUGCAGGUCGCUGCCGUUGUUCACCAUUGACACCGUUCCCUUUUUCUUGUGCUUAAUUCUAGGCACUUUUUCGGCCUCAAAAAAUCUAGCUUGAUCACCAUACAGCUUAC